AAAUUUUCCGGACAACCUAAUACAAUUGAAACAGCGAAUAUAAUAUAGUACAAGUGAAAAUAUCGUAAAAUGCAAGACACAGAAUGAAAUUUAUACCAACCUUUGUCUCAACAUUCUCUAAAAGUUGAUAUUACAAACAGAAGACAUUGUACCACUAUUGAGAUAUGUAUAAUUGCAUGUGCUGGACUAGGUUAACUGCGUAGUAGUAAUACUUGCAUGUGAAUAUCAGUAUGUGGAAGUAUAUGUGUGCAUCUCGAAAACAAAUGAAUGUAAACAGUACAGUCGGUUAACAGUCGGAUAUGGAAAUAAGUGAUGAGACGCGUGCAAGUGUGUAUCGAUGAAUAUCUUUGAAAUCGUUUAUCAAAUAAAUAUAUAACUAUUAUAAUAUAAAUUCUAAGUGUAAAUUUAGUAUUCCUAUAGCAUUAUUUCGACUAUUAAGAUCCAAAAUUCUCAACAAAUAUAAAACAAAAAUUGUUGUCCAUUUAUUAUCACCUUAUGAAAGGAAAGAGAAACUUUCCGGACAAUCUAAUACAAUUGAAACAGUGAAUAUAACGUAAUACAGGUAAAAAUAUCGUAAAAUGCAAGGAUACAGAAUGAAAUUGUUUCAACAUUCUCUAAAAGUUGAUAUUACAAACAGAAGACAUUGUGUCACAAUGCAAGGAAACAGAAACCUUACAACACAGAAAAUGAAAAUUAUAUUAAUUUCUAUUUCAAUAUUUAUGUUUCAAACACAUUAUGUCGAAUGAAUGAUUACUUAUUAAGCCUUAGGGAUCAUACCUAAUUCGAUAAAAUAAUAAUAUUGAGAUAUGUAUAAUUUUAUGUCCUGGACUAGGUUACAUGCGUAGGAGAUACUUGUAUGUAAAUAUCAGUGUGUGGAAAUAUGUGUGUGCGUGGCGUCUCGAAAAUAAACGAAUGUGAACAGUACAGUCGGCUAACAGUCGAAUAUGGAAGAAAGUGCUGAGACACGUGCAAGUAUGUAUCGAUGAAUAUCUUUGAAAUCGUCCAUCAAAUAACUGUAUAAUUAUUCUAAUAUUAAUUCCAAGUGUAAAUUUAGCGUUCCUAUACCAUUAUUUCGGCUAUCAAGAUCCACAAUUCUCAACAUGAACGUCACGUGUCCCAUGUGGAUAAACUUAUCUAAAUAGAAAGCGAGAUAAAGUAAAAGUUUAUAGGAAGUUGGAAAAAUGACAGUAAAGUACGGUUUUGGUGAAUGCAGUAGGCGUGCAAUUUCGAAGUCAGACAACGUUUGCUUCAGAAACUGCAAUCACUUUCCCGAGUCCUCAGCUGUCCACUUAUCUCAACAGGAAGUGCUGGCUGCAACCGCACUACCUUCAACUGCAACCUUGUUACGUCUCAUCAUAAAUCUUCCAAUCUACUCAAAAACUCCAGGAAGUCUUGUCCAAUACUCCAACGGAGUAUUAUUCCAACUUCUCCGAUUCAUUCGUCAAAUAUUUUUCAGAAAUUCAACUGAGAGCUUUGAACUUCACAUUUCGACGCAUAAUUAAACGUUUCUUUUCGUAGGCUCGAAAUUUCGACGUAAAUUGCUGUCGUUCUUUCAAAUUUUCAAUUUUACAUUAAACCGAGGAUUUUAAGUUAUUCGAUCGUCGCGCUGCAAUCUUCAAAAAGUAGCAUUUUCCAAUGGCGUCAGCUUGCGAUAAGAAAAGUCGAUCGACGCUUGGACGAGUCCAAGAAAAUGCAUUUUCUCGUGAACCCAAAGUUGCAAUCGACUUAAAUAGUGCAACGUUGAUGGUUCCCAGCGAAUCAUUUGUUAGGUUGAUCGCAGCAAUGUUGCGCAACCGAAGUGUGUGGUCAGAAACCCGUUAAAUCUUAGCUGCGGGGGUGGUGGGGGGCGGGACAAGGCGCGAAUUUCACGUUGUUUGUCCCCGUACUUUGCCAAACGAGCGAUUCACUGACCACCCACUGUACACCGUACAUCGUACAGCUUGUAGAUCGCGCGAUUGCCAGGCGGAUGCGAGGCGAAAUGACCGACGCAUACGGAUCAUUUGUCUUGGCGCAACGAAUGUGGAACGUGGCGUGUAGGUGGCAUAACGCCGCCUGAAAAUAGGGUCACGAAUCGUAAGGAGGAUCUGAUAACCGGCCCGGAAGGUAUUUCGCGUUCGUACAGUGUCGCUGUCUGUUCCCACCCCCAAAGAGACCAGGGACACAUUGGAUGAGUAGAAGGAAAUUGCAACGAAGAUCGUCCCUUGAUUUUUAAUGUCACAUAGGAACAAGGUAGAUGACCCAAUGUGGACAAUAUAUGCAGCCUCUUCGAUGUAAGGACAAAUAAUUGCCAAGUAAUUUGAGGGAGAUAGUCCGUUAAAGACCCAGUUCAGGACAAUCAACCGGUCAGCCUAUUUACCUUAAUUCACGCCCAACACAAUCUAUAUCCGAGAGUGGCUUGUAAGGGUAUUCAAGACCGGAAGAGAACGUAGGUCGCUCGGUGGAUAGCGGAUCAGUGUAUAGAUCUUGCAAUUAGCUGCUCUUGUGUGCUUCCUUCCUCCUCGAGAACCUUGCUGGUAACCGUGUCGCUUGCUGAUUCCCUUUGCUUUUUACUCCAAAACUAGGGAAUCUAGUCCGAAAUUCGUUAUGGAUCUAUCGUACACCGUGUUCGAAUUAAUCUUAGUUGGAUUGAAGAUGUUUUACAGAUCGAUGCAAUAAUGACACGUAUUGUUUUAGGAUGUGGACUGAAACAUUGCAACAAACAAUUUUCAGGAACACGAAAUCCUCCACCGUUCCUAAUUUCAUUAUGCAAUAUUUCUAUCGACCAUUGAAGACUGCAGAACAAUAUAUUCAGAAUUAUCAAACAUUUUCUGAAUUUCAGUUCUGAGAAGAGUUUAACACAAUGAGAGCUUUCUCAUAUUGCUGACAUGUUUCUUAACGUUCAUAAAAUACUCGAAAAUAAUGAAACGAACGCAGCAUAGUUGAAAACAGGAAAGAAAUAUACCGUAAAUACCAUUUGCCUAAGGAACGCCUACUUUCGCCCAAAUGGUAAAAAAUUCCGGAGCAUCGGGUCAUUCGCAAUGACAACGUGGCGUAUAACAUCUCAUCGCGGACAGGCGAUGCGAUUAUUCCAGAAAACAUGAAACGAAAGCAGCAACGAGCCAUGUCUGACUUUCGAUCCUGGGUGGUAGCAGGUUAUCUCGGCUGUUGGCUGGGCUGCUGGUUGCAUGGGCGGAGGCAGGGUCGUGCAGGCGGCCCCUCAUUCGCUUUCCGGGUGCCACCCUUCUUUUCGAGGCUGCUGCGGCAUAUCCCCAGUCCAUGCUGCGGCAACCACGCACGUGUUCGCGCAUGCGCAACAGCCACGAUGUUGCACGCAUGGGCGCGUACGCAUAUAGGAGAAACGGCACCCGUUGGAGAACCCCUUUCGCGCCCAGGCUACCCAACAGAAUGUCCCCUCGAUGCUUGUAAACUGUGCUGCCAGCAUAAUACUGCGUUAUGUAUAUGUCGAAUGUCCCCACAUAAGAAAUCGAUAUCUCCGCUAUGGAGAACUGGCACCAAAUUUGGUGACAGAAUUUGAUAUUUAAAAUGGACGUAGGAAAUUGAAUGACCAAGGAAUGGCAACCACUGCUGUUUGGACGUAUUUCAAUGUUCUUCCUUUGUGCGAACGUUGGAAAUUAAAGAAUUUAUUUAACAAGGAUCGUUACUUAAAAAACGACUAAGUUUCUUCGCGAUAACGUUGGAAAUUAGAUAAUUUGGGAAGAGCAGUCGUCACCACUUGGCCAUUUUUCCUUGCUGUUAUUGCUUUCACUGAAGUGUUCGUCAAAUAUUUCUAAAAAUGUGCCAGUCAUCGUUAUGCCUUAUUUAAUAAACUCGUGGAAUCUCAAAUUGACUGAUGUAGAGUUCCAACGAACCCCUAUAGCGCUGGAAGAGCCAUUUCCCGUGGUUGAUGGUAAAUUGGGGUACACAGCGUGAAACGAUUGCCUCGUAACAAAUUGACGUUCCGUUUGUGCAGAAGAUAACGAACAAUUGAACUUUUUGGCGGCAUUAAGUCGUCCGAGGGUUCGCUAUCAAAGGCGUUCGUCGGUUUUAUCAGGAUGAUUCAUACGUGGCAUUAUCUCGUUAUUUUUCUCGCGCGUUUUCCACCGAUCGGUGUAUUCCUUUUUCGAAGGGAAAUGAUUUAUUAUGCGGGCCUCUCCAUGAAACCGGUAAAUAUAUGCACGCAACUUUGCAUACGUAAUAUGGAUGAGAUACUGUCAACGCCGUCAACUAACAAGUUUACCUCGACUCGGCUGGCUAUCGUUUGUUUCCUGCUUCAAAUGAUGUAUCGCGCGAAAAACCGAUAAGAAUGCGCCACAUAAUAAAUCUAUAAUAACCGAAAUGUUCAUUUUUCACGUUGGCGAUAACGACGAAUAGGAGAGCAGAGGGGAGGGGGGGGGGCAAAUGUGCGCAACUUAAGUGCGUAGAAGCAACGAAACCGAUGAUAAUAGUUGGUUAAAAACCAGUUAGGUUAUGUGCGAUACGAUAACGAGUUGACAUUAAUAGAAUCACUGAAUUCUUAAGAAAAUAAAAAGAAAAAAAGAAUACGAAAUUCUUUCGAUGCAAGUUUACGUGCAAGGAUGUCGAUUUUUUCUUCUCUGUUUUUUCUUUUUUUUUUUUAGGAAACACUACGUUAUUGUAAAUUACGAAACAUUUAUUUAUUGAUUCAAUUUACUUCACGAUUGUAUCUUAAUCGAUCACUACGAUCAAUAUAAACAUAAUCAUCGAAGUGUGCCGAUUCUUAUCGUACAGGCUAUAUACAUUAUCGGUAGAAUGUCAAGGAAUAUAAUGUCACACUUAAUAGAACGUUCUUGUAAACUCGUGCACUUGCUUAGAACUGGCUAAUUACACUAUGACCGCCUUUCAUCCUCGUCCAUUCCGAAUAGAACGUGUUUAAUGUUUCUUAAUAUCUCUAUAUUCUUAUAUUUAAUCAGAUAAACAUCGUUUUGGUAUAUCGUCACAGCGACUCUGUGCAUUUAAAUCAACGUUUCAUUGCUAUUCUCUCUCUCUCUCGCUCGCUCUCUUUCUCUCGCUCUCGCAAUACAUCGAUUCGUUUGGCGCCACUUGCUACAUCCUUUUGUAAUCUAAAUCCUUGUUAUUGGUCGUCGGUAUA